AUCAUUUUGUGGUUCAUAAGAUUAGUGAUUAUUGGGUUUUUAGACCAAGAUGUGGUAUGUGCCUCUCUCAAAUCUUGUUAUAACAGUGAUAUAUUACCUAAAUGAAA